CCCAGAUUUGCCUUCUGGAAGUUUCAGCCUUGUCUGUACUGCUCAUCUGAAGUAGUGUCUAAUUUAUUUAUUUGAUGUAUGUGAGUACCCUGUAGCUGUCUUCAGACACACCAGAAGAGGGCAUCGGAUCUCAUUACAGAUGGUUGUGAGACACCAUGUGGUUGCUGGGAAUUGAACGGAGGACCCCUGGAAGAGCAGCCAGUGUUUUUAACUUUUCCAGCUCCAAAGUUUCAAAUCUUACAGGAUCAUACCUUGGAUGUUUUCAAGGUUUUUGAAGUAACCACACCCAGUGAUGCAUUCUGGUAGAGUUCUGAAGUCUGCUAUCUUACUUGGCUUCCUGCCCUCACCCAAGGAGCUUGUAAUUUUAGCUACCUUGGUUGUGCCAAAUCAGCAUAUUUGACAGUAACAGCCUUAAUAUAAACCUUGUCUGAGGUCUGGGCCUUUGUUGGGCAUCUUGGGUGGCUCUAAGCAACUGAGUCUCAAUUCUUAAUGUGUGGGCUAAAUAAAAUGCACCUAUGUUUCUAGACACUGCCUGUCUUUCUCAUAAUAAUCUGCUACAGGGCAAGAAGAACUAACGUUGGAAAGACUGGAGUAGCUGCAAGCUGGAUCUUGAGAGACAGAGUUGGGAAAGAUUCCCCCAGAGAGGUGCUGUAGCCAUGAAAGCUACAAGCAGAGGUAUUAGCAAAUGCUGGGGCCCAAGAUUUUAAGCUACAAAUACUUCACACCUUCUCAGAUCACUAGCCAUGUACACCUGGUGUCAGCAUUGUAGAGGGAGGUAAUAGGAUUGAAAGGCAUUUGAGAUCGCAUGGCUGGUACAGAGGCUUAGAACAGAAAACUAGGAGUCUGUAUUCUAGAAAUAGCAUAGGUUGAAUUAAAAACAUAUAAUACCAGUUUAUAAUGCACUAAUUAGUUUGGUGUGUGUGUGUGUGUGUGUGUGUGUGUGUGUGUAGUGUAUUUUAACAGCAAAGUCUCAGGUACCCCAGGCCAGCCUCAGACUCCCUGUGUAGCUGUGGAGAAUGACCUAGAGCUAUUCCCAGGCCCUUUGAAGGAGCCCUGCUCCCAAGACUUACCUCCGUCUUCCUCGGUGCCAGCCAGAUAAGGGCACCAGCAUCCCUUAGGCGUGGCCACAUCACAACCUCAGUGUUCCUCACUAGCCCUCUCUGAGUCACUGACUCUACUGCACAUCUUUUCCCAUCAUGCCCCAGAACUUUCUAAGAACCUGGGACAGAUGGAAUAUCACUUCUAUGGCUGUAAGCAGAGGUCUUAGCUUAAAUGUAGGUCAGCUACCCAAUAGGAUUUUAUUAAACAGUGAUGCAGAUCUGUAUUACGGACACUAAAUGCAGAUACACUCAAGUCAUAAUGAAGCCUGACAAUAACUCACAGAGCGCAAACCCCUUUUAUCCAAGAAUCCAAAUGUGUACACCUAGACAGGGCUUCCAAAAUGUCCGUCUGUUCACCCAGGGCGGUGGGAGUAUAAAGGAUGAAUUUUGCACUCUACUGAACAAAUAUUCCUUGGAUGAUAAAUAUUAGAAUAAUCCAAAAACAAACAAGAAUUAGUGAAACAUGCUUAUCACGUCAGCACUUGGGAAGCGGAGCAGCAAAAGCAGGGAUUCACGGCUGUCUUCAGCUGCAUUGGGAUCUGGAGGCCAGCCAGCCAAGGCAAAUAAGACUGUCUCACACACACACACACACACACACACACACACACACACACAUACACACGCCAAUGAUGCCGCUGCCACCACAACCACUGCCACCACCACUAAACAUAUGACCGCUUCUCCGGGAGUACAAAUGCUGAACUCAUGGGCUCUCUGUUGCCUUUUGAUUCGUUUUAACCCAGCAAACAUUUCAGAAGUGGCUAGUCAGCGCUGGUUCCCACCAGUGGCUGAGCAGAGUCAGAGGGCUGUGUAUGGAUCCUACAAUAACCCUCCAUGUGGGCUGGGAUGGCCCAUGGAGACAGUCUAGGAAGGCCUUCAGUGAGGUAGGGGGUGUCAUCCAGACACCUGGGACAUCUGGUUCUCAGGAGGAAAAGGAGCCACAGUUGAAGAGCUAGACAAGGAUAAGGUGGGGGGGGGGACAGGAAAGUCCAUAGUGGAGCUGUAGCCUCUUGCUCCCCACCCUGGAGCUCGGGCCAGCCCAGUCUGACCGCUGCAGUGACUGUUAUCAAACCAUAGUUGCCUCUCAAAAGUGAAGCCCUGGCAGCUAAGGGCAUCCUGUCAGUCUUCCUGUCACAGGGAGCCAUUUUGAGUAUCAUGGUGUUCUCAAGGGCUGGGAUGGAGCUAAAGACCCUAAUCACCAGGACCUGGUGUUUGUUUUCCCAUCUCUGAGCCAGUCAGGGAGGCAACCUUUCAUAACUAACGUGUCUCCUUGUUUGUUCCAUUUCUGCUGCUUUCUGGCUUGCAGAAGUAGGGCUUCAAGAGGUACAGAGUAAGGAGAGAAAGGGCAGUUCAGAUCCUAAAGUGGGUCGUGUGCCAAGAAGAUAGACAGGCAGGCAGGCAGGCAGGCAGGCAGGCAGACAGACAGAGAUUCAAACUGGCACACACACACACACACACACACACACACACACACACACACACACACACACACCACUACUAGGGGGCGCCUGAGUACAGGGACCAGGUUACCCCCGAGCAGAGGUAGUAUCUGUUCUCAGGAUUAAGCAGUCUAGCCCUGGACUGAUUCUGUAGGGCUGGUCAGAGACUGGGUGUGAGCACAGGCUCUUCUUAGUCGAAUGUUGUUUGUCACUCGGGUCGCCACCUGCGGCGUAGGCGACACUCUACAUAGCUAGCUAGCUCAGGGGACUUGGAAUGUGGAGCGGCUGCUGAAGAGCCCUGGAAAGGGAAAGUAGAGCCAGAGUCAGAAGAAUCUGCAGCCCUCCACACUCCAUGUGCUUCCUUCCUGGCUGCUAGGCUUGCUUUCUU
rnacentral:lncRNA from 1 species